GGAGGAGGUAGAGGGUGGUGGAAUU
rnacentral:miRNA from 1 species